GGUGAUAUAGCUCAGGGGUAGAGCACAUGCUCAGUCCCCGGGUUCAAUUCCCAGUACUACUA
rnacentral:tRNA from 1 species